GACGAACGCUGGCGGCGUGCUUAACACAUGCAAGUCGAACGGAAAGGCCCUGCUUUUGUGGGGUGCUCGAGUGGCGAACGGGUGAGUAACACGUGAGUAACCUGCCCUUGACUUUGGCAUAACUUCAGGAAACUGGGGCUAAUACCGGAUAGGAGCUCCUGCUGCAUGGUGGGGGUUGGAAAGUUUCGGCGGUUGGGGAUGGACUCGCGGCUUAUCAGCUUGUUGGUGGGGUAGUGGCUUACCAAGGCUUUGACGGGUAGCCGGCCUGAGAGGGUGACCGGCCACAUUGGGACUAAGGUACGGCCCAGACGCCAACGGGGGGCAGCAGUGGGAAAUAUUGCACAAUGAGCGGAAGCCUGAUGCAGCGACGCCGCGUGCGGGAUGACGGCCUUCGGGUUGUAAACCGCUUUCGCCUGUGACGAAGCGUGAGUGACGGUAAUGAGUAAAGAAGCACCGGCUAACUACGUG
rnacentral:rRNA from 1 species